rnacentral:lncRNA from 1 species
UGUCACCCAGGCUGGAGUGCAGUGGUGCAAUAUCGGCUUGCUGCAACCUCCGACUCCCAGAUUCAAGCCAUUCUCCUGCCUUAGCCUCCGGAGUAGCUGGAAUUCAGUCAUGUGCCACCCUGCCCAGGUGAUGAAGCUGAGGUCCAGAGAGACUGCCCAUGAAAUGAUCAAGCAGAGACCCACCCACAUCCAGGUUUGUAAAGCUCCUGGCAUACAAUACAGAAACCUGAAGUUAUCCUGAGAACAAACGUCACUGCCAUGGAAACACCUCCUCCACGUUCCCGAUGGUGCACUGGUUUUCUUUCCUGUCUGACCAACAAGCCUCUGGAGAGUGGCCACCAUCUUACAGGCUCACUUUGUAUUCUGUAAACUUUCAGUUGGAAAAUAAACACACUGUCUCCCUGUCAAAGCUCUACCGUGCAUGAGUAUUUCUCAAGAGCCAGGGCGGAUGGUAGAGACAGACCAAGCAUUUCCAAGGAAACCAAAGGGGCAUAAUUGCUUCUUUCCAGGUAAUGUGGAUGCACUGGAUGGGGUCGGCUGCGUCACAGUGGAUCAUUUUCUUGUUAGCGUCUGGCCAGAGUGAUGUGAGUACCACGGGCUUCCUGAAUGACGCUGCACAGGCCCAUCUGCAAGUUACAAAGACCAAAUUGAAAAUAGAUCAUGGAGACACUGGUUGGAUACUCUGCCUUCCCUUGAAAGAUCCACGGUGGGUUUGUCCACUGAGACAUACUAUUGCUGGGACUUUUUUGUUUCUUUUCAUUUUCUU